UACAAAUUAUAAGUUGAAUAGUAUUGUGUGUUUAGUGGAAAAGUACUGUGACAGCUUAGUCAUGCAAAAUGAGGAAAGGAUACAGCUGUACGUGCAGAAAGCAGCACUGAUGAUGGUGGUCAGAAAGCAACAAGAGUGCAGCAACAAAGUUAAUAUCAGUUUGAUAUCAGUUUGACCAUGAAAAUAAGUUACUCCUA